GGGGAAUUUUGGACAAUGGGCGAAAGCCUGAUCCAGCAAUGCCGCGUGAGUGAAGAAGGCCUUCGGGUUGUAAAGCUCUUUUGUCAGGGAAGAAACGGUUUGGGCUAAUAUCCUGAGCUAAUGACGGUACCUGAAGAAUAAGCACCGGCUAACUACGUGCCACCAGCCGCGGUAAAACGUAGGUACCGAGCGUUAUCCGGAUUUACUGGGCGUAAAGCGCGUUCAGGCGGCUUAGCAAGUCGGGCAUGAAAUCUCUCGGCUCAACCGGGAGGGGCUGUCCGAUACUGCUGGGCUUGAGGGCAGUAGAGGGUGGUGGAAUUCCGGGUGUAGUGGUGAAAUGCGUAGAGAUCCGGAGGAACACCAGUGGCGAAAGCGGCCACCUGGACUGUACCUGACGCUCAAACGCGAAAGCUAGGGGAGCGAA
rnacentral:rRNA from 1 species